CCGACCCUUACGGAUGGGGGAGUAGCCAGCCCAACGGCUGGGUAAUACCGCAUACGCUUCUUCCGGGGCAUCCUGGGGGAAGGAAAGCGCUCGAGGCAACUCGAGCGCGUCCGAGGACGGGCUCGCGGCCUAUCAGCUAGUUGGUGGGGUGAUGGCUCACCAAGGCGACGACGGGUAGCUGGUCUGAGAGGAUGGCCAGCCACAUUGGGACUGAGAGACGGCCCAG
rnacentral:rRNA from 1 species